rnacentral:rRNA from 1 species
AGGUAAGCUACUAAGAGCGAAUGGUGGAUGCCUUGACUGGUAAAGGCGAUGAAGGACGUACUAGACUGCGAUAAGCUACGGGGAGCUGUCAAGAAGCUUUGAUCCGUAGAUUUCCGAAUGGGGCAACCCAAUGUAUAGAGAUAUACAUUACCUAUAUAGGAGCGAACGAGGGGAAUUGAAACAUCUUAGUACCCUCAGGAAAAGAAAUCAAUAGAGAUUGCGUCAGUAGCGGCGAGCGAAAGCGCAAGAGGGCAAACCCAGUGCUUGCACUGGGGGUUGUAGGACUGCAAUGUGCAAGAGCUGAGUUUAGCAGAACAUUCUGGAAAGUAUAGCCAUAGAGGGUGAUAGUCCCGUAUGCGAAAAACAAAGCUUAGCUAGCAGUAUCCUGAGUAGGGCGGGACACGAGGAAUCCUGUCUGAAUCCGGGUCGACCACGAUCCAACCCUAAAUACUAAUACCAGAUCGAUAGUGCACAAGUACCGUGAGGGAAAGGUGAAAAGAACUGAGGUGAUCAGAGUGAAAUAGAACCUGAAACCAUUUGCUUACAAUCAUUCAGAGCACUAUGUAGCAAUACAGUGUGAUGGACUGCCUUUUGCAUAAUGAGCCUGCGAGUUGUGGUGUCUGGCAAGGUUAAGCAAACGCGAAGCCGUAGCGAAAGCGAGUCUGAAUAGGGCGCUUAGUCAGAUGCUGCAGACCCGAAACGAAGUGAUCUAUCCAUGAGCAAGUUGAAGCUAGUGUAAGAACUAGUGGAGGACUGAACCCAUAGGCGUUGAAAAGCCCCGGGAUGACUUGUGGAUAGGGGUGAAAGGCCAAUCAAACUUCGUGAUAGCUGGUUCUCUCCGAAAUAUAUUUAGGUAUAGCGUUGUGUCGUAAUAUAAGGGGGUAGAGCACUGAAUGGGCUAGGGCAUACACCAAUGUACCAAACCCUAUCAAACUCCGAAUACCUUAUAUGUAAUCACAGCAGUCAGGCGGCGAGUGAUAAAAUCCGUCGUCAAGAGGGAAACAACCCAGACUACCAGCUAAGGUCCCUAAAUCUUACUUAAGUGGAAAACGAUGUGAAGUUACUUAAACAACCAGGAGGUUGGCUUAGAAGCAGCCAUCCUUUAAAGAAAGCGUAAUAGCUCACUGGUCUAGUGAUUUUGCGCGGAAAAUAUAACGGGGCUAAAGUAAGUACCGAAGCUGUAGACUUGCGCACAACUUAGAUUAUUUAAGUUUAGAAUAUGAGAAACUAAGUUAUAUUUUUACUGAUUUUUAUAGAGUAAAGAUAGAAAUAAAACUUAGUAAAAUCAGUAAAAAUAUUCUUAGGCUAAAGUUAAGUAGUUUAAGUUGUGUGCAAGUGGUAGGAGAGCGUUCUAUUUGCGUCGAAGGUAUACCGGUAAGGAGU